AAGGUUUUUGGGAUUUUUAAAAACCCCUUUUUUUUCGGGAACGGAAAAGGACGGUAACAAAAGGAAGGAAGCCCCCGGCCCAAACUCCGGAGGCGGCAGCCGCGGUUAAUAAGUAAGUUGGGCGAACGUUUAUCCCGAAUUUUACUGGGCGUUAAAGGGAGCGGUAAGGCGGAUCUUUAAGUUGGGAUGUGAAAUACCCGCGCUCCAACUUGGGUGCUGCAUUUCAAACUGGGGAUCUUGAGUGCAGGAGAGGUAAGUGGAAUUCCUAGUGUAGCGGUGAAAUGCGUAGAGAUUUGGAAGAACUCCAGUGGCGAAGGCGACUUACUGGACUGUAACUGACGCUGAGGCAUGAAAGCGUGGGUAGCAAACAGGAUUAGAUAACUUGGUUGUCCACGCCGUAAACGAUGAAUUCUAGGUGUUGGAGGUAUCGACCCCUUCUGUGCCGCAGUUAACACUAUAAGUUUUCCGCCUGGGGAGCACGGUCGCAAGAUUAAAACUCAAAGGAAUUGACGGGGGCCCGCACAAGCAGCGGAGCAUGUGGUUUAAUUCGAAGCAACGCGAAGAACCUUACCUAGACUUGACAUCCCCUGAAUUACUCGUAACGGAGGAAGUCCUUCGGGGCAGGGAGACAGGUGGUGCAUGGUUGUCGUCAGCUCGUGUCGUGAGAUGUUGGGUUAAGUCCCGCAACGAGCGCAACCCUUAUCAUUAGUUGCUACCAUUAAGUUGAGCACUCUAAUGAGACCGCCCGGGUUAACCGGGAGGAAGGUGGGGAUGACGUCAAAUCAUCAUGCCCCUUAUGUCUAGGGCUACACACGUGCUACAAUGGUGAGUACAAAGAGAUGCAAGACCGCAAGGUGGAGCAAAACUCAAAAACUCAUCCCAGUUCGGAUUGUAGGCUGAAACUCGCCUACAUGAAGCCGGAGUUGCUAGUAAUCGCGAAUCAGCAUGUCGCGGUGAAUACGUUCCCGGGCCUUGUACACACCGCCCGUCACACCAUGAGAGUUGGCAACACCCGAAGUCCGUGAGGUAACCGUAAGGAGCCAGCGGUUACGAAGGUGGUACGGGG
rnacentral:rRNA from 1 species